rnacentral:pre_miRNA from 1 species
UGCCCUAUCCGUCAGUCGCUGCCUCGUUUUGAAUAGCAGGGACUGUCGAAUGGGAUUUG